CGGAGCUUGCUCCACCGGAAAAAGAAGAGUGGCGAACGGGAGAGAAACACGUGGGUAACCUGCCCAUCAGAAGGGGAUAACACUUGGAAACAGGUGCUAAUACCGUAUAACAAUCGAAACCGCAUGGUUUUGAUUUGAAAGGCGCUUUCGGGUGUCGCUGAUGGAUGGACCCGCGGUGCAUUAGCUAGUUGGUGAGGUAACGGCUCACCAAGGCCACGAUGCAUAGCCGACCUGAGAGGGUGAUCGGCCACAUUGGGACUGAGACACGGCCCAAACUCCUACGGGAGGCAGCAGUAGGGAAUCUUCGGCAAUGGACGAAAGUCUGACCGAGCAACGCCGCGUGAGUGAAGAAGGUUUUCGGAUCGUAAAACUCUGUUGUUAGAGAAGAACAAGGAUGAGAGUAACUGUUCAUCCCUUGACGGUAUCUAACCAGAAAGCCACGGCUAACUACGUGCCAGCAGCCGCGGUAAUACGUAGGUGGCAAGCGUUGUCCGGAUUUAUUGGGCGUAAAGCGAGCGCAGGCGGUUUCUUAAGUCUGAUGUGAAAGCCCCCGGCUCAACCGGGGAGGGUCAUUGGAAACUGGGAGACUUGAGUGCAGAAGAGGAGAGUGGAAUUCCAUG
rnacentral:rRNA from 1 species